CAGCAGCCGCGGUAAUACGUAGGGGGCGAGCGUUGUCCGAGGUUACUGGGCGUAAAGAGCGCGUAGGCUGGUCUUUAAGUGAGUGGUGAAAGGUUCGGGCUCAACCCGGACACUGCCUUUCAUACUGGGAAACUUGAGUGCAGAAGAGGAGAGUGGAAUUCCACGUGUAGCGGUGAAAUGCGUAGAGAUGUGGAGGAACACCAGUGGCGAAGGCGACUCUCUGGUCUGUAACUGACGCUGAGGAGCGAAAGCGUGGGGAGCGAACAGGAUUAGAUACCCGGGUAGUCCCUGUCUCUUAUAU
rnacentral:rRNA from 1 species